GCUUAUCUGGACAGGAAAGAAUGACACUGAAGAUGCGAGAAAAGGCAAAGAAGAAAACCGCAGAGGAAUACAGUGUGGAACAGUUACUGGAAAAGAAUGUCCAAUUAUUUUUUAGGCUCAGCUCACCGCUACCACCCCUGCACUGACUCCGGACGGCGAAGACGAACACACUCUGUCCUCCGAAGCGUGUGCCGUCAGCCGACUGCUUUUUUUCACACUGCGGAUUCACCAUGCAGCCACCCAAGAGCUUCAGCGUCGGAGCAGCUCUCGAGCAGCUUGCAGGCAAGCCCGCAGGCGCCCGGCCAGACUACAGGGGUCGCUGUUGCGUUGUGAGCCGAGGACACCCUGGCCAACCUAACUCUCCCUCCCCCCGGGCGACGCUCGGACAAUUGUGCGCCGCCCCCUGGAAGCUCCCGUCCAUGGUCGGCUGUGGAAUAGCCUGGACUCGAACCGGCGACGUCCAGGCUAUAGAGCACAUCCUGCACUCCACACGGGAGCGCCUUUACCGGAUGCGCCACUCGGGAGCCCCAGGGAUAUGUAUUUCUUUGUCGAGUUUAAUCGGAGAUACAAUGACAGCUUGCUCAGGACUACAACCCCACUAUUUACUGUACAGAUGACACAUUUCUUAAGAAACUAAGAAAAGUGAGAAAAGGAUAAAGGAAAGUAUGGAUGAUGGUGCAGCAGAGAAAUGUAAAGAAGCCAUUGACAAAGCAUUGCAGUAUGAUCCAGACAACCCUGAAGCAUUGCAGCUGAUGGCCAGAAUGUGUUUCCUCCAUAUGAAUCCAGAAUAACUACAACCAAGCUACUGAUUGAAGCUGAAGAAUAUGAGAUUUGCCAAGUUGCUGUCUCAGGUAGAAUGUAGCAGCAAAGGCAAAAAGUUACAGAUAGACCCAUCCUAUCGACCUUGGUCUGUCAGCACAGAAACAAGUGCCCCCCCUACAGGUGACGACGAGCAUGAGGCAAUCAUAAGGAAGUUCUAUGUCUCACUUGGACAGGUACCCCGGCACGCACUUGUCGGACUGUAACCUGGUGAGCUAGUCCGGGGCGGACUUGAGGCUGGCACGGGAGAGUGUAGCGUGCACUGUGGAAAGGCAGCAUCAAGGCUGGCUCAGUUCACCGCUACAACCCCCGCGCUGACUCGGGGAGCGGCGAAGACGAAGACACGCUGUCCUCUGAAACAUGUGCCGUCAGCCGACUGCUUCUUUUCACUCUGCAGGCCUGCCAUGCAGCCACCUCAGAGCUACAGCGUCCAAGGACAACGCUUACAGGCAAGCCCGCAGGCUCCCGGACAGUCUACAGGAGUCGCUGGUGCGUGGUGAGCCGAGGACACUAUGGCCGACCUAAAUCUCUCCCCACCAAGGCAACGCUCGGCCAUUUGUGCGCCGCCCCUUGGGAACUCUCAUCCACGGUCGGCAGUGGAAUAGCCUGGACAAGAACUGGCGACCUCCAGGCUAUAGGGCGCAUCCUGCACUCCACGCAGAGCGCCUUUACUGGAUGCGCCACUCAGGGGCCCCUCUACCAGUACCUUUUCUAAAGCAUUUAAACACAGAGGCUUAAAAACUUAAAACCAAUAUUGCAAUCUAUGAUUAGUUUUUUUCUUAUUCUCUAGUGUGAAACAUGGUGCAGUCUUGUCUGUUAGGAUUAUAGGAAUGCCUGGUGACUUGCUGCUGUUGGCAGUUGCAAGAACUGUACUGCCACGGUAGGUUAAAACCCAGGGGACAGGCACACAUUUUAGAUUUAGUCAUCUUGAAAACUGAGAAAACAUUUUCACGUAUGCACUGUAUGCCGCACCAAGUAGUCUGUGAACUUUAGCAUAAUGUUUCUUUGUGCUGCUAUUUGUUAUUAAAAAAAAU